CUUAUCUGUACACAAGAUUGGAUUCGGGGUUCACAUACUCCAAUUAAGGUUGAAGAAGACAUAGAUGACCUUGAAAAUCUAGAAAAAGAGUUGUCAAAGGUUGCAUUGGAGUCCACAAUUGGUGAAUAAGACAAACAAAGAAAGACAAAGGACUUACAGGUGAAAUAAGCAGAGAAAUUGUGCUUUGUAUUUUGCAAUGUAAGAAGCUGAAAAGUGGGAGUUUCUAAUACAAGAAGCCAUGAAAUUGUAGCUGUCACUUGUCAGCUGAUGUAUGAAGCAUUGAAGUCCUAGUUUUUUAUUUUAAUUUUUUAGAAACAAUUUAUAUUUUAUGUUUGUUUUUUAUUUUUAUUUUGCACAAACUAUUUACAUUGGUCUGUAAUAUAAUAUUACGAACUUUGUACUCUUGAACUCAAAUCC